rnacentral:lncRNA from 1 species
UGGGGAGGCCGCACCUUUUACGCGGCAAAGUACAUUGGCGGCUAGCCAAUCAUCUACUUCAACCUUGAAGCGUGGCAAACCCCUUGGUUCAAAGGAUUCACAACCCCGGAAUAGGAAAAUGGCACCAACUAGCGACCCUAGUUUGAAUCCGACCAUCGCUCACUUAUCCGUUUCAACGCAUGAGGUUAUUCUAGAUUAUGGUGAUUAGGCCUGGCAAACGGGUCGCGUCAGUCGUGUUCGUGUAUUUUUCAUGUGACACCUGUUAUCUUAACGGGUCGUGUCGUGUCACACAUGUUAUCUUAACGGGUCCUUAACAGGUCGGGUCACUUAACCCAACGGGUAAAGUGACCCGACCCGUUAUUACCCGUUAAGAAAAAAAAAAAUUCUUAAAUUUGCACAUACCACACAUUGUCACAUAAAUAUUACUUCAAAACAUUAAAACACAUUUGUCGUUUAAGUACUACAUCUACACUCGAAAAUAAGAGCCUUAUAAAAAAUACAUCCAUACACUACUAAUCUAUUACAAAUAUUAAAUGUGCAAGGAUAUACAAAUUGAAAGCGUUUUUGUUUUCAAGGUUGUGAAGCCUUUCUCAAAAGUUUAAACCUUGCCAAUGGAACUCAAAGCUUAAUGAAAGUGACCCACUAGUGUGUUUAUUCGUACUUUCAUUAAGUAUAACAUAAGAUUUUGUGGUAUCUACUAGUGUAAAUAUUUUAAAUUGAAGAUCGAAUUCAUUCAUUGUAUUCAUAUAGGGUCAAGGAGUGUAGUUGUAAAAAAUCAUCAAAAUCGGAGUUAAAAUAACCAUUAAAUUGUGAUUUUUCAUUUAUAACCGUCAAAAAGUUUUGUCCUGUUACUUAAUCUUUAAAUAUUUUUUUUUUGCAAUUUUUGGCGUAUGCGAUCUCGAAGUAUAUACAAAAAAGUUUGACGGUUGGAUCGUUGAAACUAGUUUCGUAGAAUGCGUAUCCCAUCAAAACAAUAGAUUCACUAACACUUAAAAGUUUAUUCUUACUUUCAUUAAGUAUAACAUAAGAUUUUUGUGGUAUCCACUAGUGUAAAUAUUUUAAGUUGAAGAUCGAAUUCAUUCAUUGUAUUCAUAUAGGGUCAAGGAGUGUAGCUGUAAAAAAUCAUCAAAAUCGGAGUUAAAAUAACUGUUAAAUCGUGAUUUUUCGUUUAUAACCGUCGAAAAGUUUUGUCUCGUUACUUGAUCUCUGAAUGUUUGUUUUUUGCAAUUUUUGGCAUAUGCAAUCUCGAAGUAUAUACAAACAUGUUUGACGGUUGGAUCGUUGAAACUAGUUUCGUAGAAUGCAUAUCCCAUCAAAACAAUAGAUUCACUGACACUUAAGAUUUUAUUCAUACUUUCAUCAAGUAUAACAUAAGAUUUUGUAGUAUCCACUAGUGUAAAUAUUUUAAAUUGAAGAUCGAAUUCAUUCAUUGUAUUUCUAUAGGGUCAAGGAGUAUAGCUGUAAAAAAAUCAUCAAAAUCGGAGUUAAAAUAACCGUUAAAUCGUGAUUUUUUGUUUAUAACCGUCGAAAAGUUUUGUCCCGUUACUUGAUCUCUGAAUGUUUGUUUUUUUGCAAUUUUUGGCAUAUGCGAUCUCGAAGCAUAUACAAACAAGUUUGACGGUUGGAUUGUUGAAACUAGUUUUGCAAAAUGCGUAUCUCAUCAAAACAAUAUAUUCACUAACACUUAAGAGUUUAUUCAUAUUUUCAUUAAGUAUAACAUAAGAUUUUGUGGUAUCCACUAGUGUAAAUAUUUUAAAUUGAAGAUCGAAUUCAUUCAUUGUAUUCAUAUAAGGUCAAGGAGUGUAGCUGUAAAAAAGUUUCAAAAUCGGAGUUAAAAUAACAGUAAAAUCAUGAUUUUUCGUUUAUAACCGUCGAAAAGUUUUGUCCCGUUACUUGAUCUCUGAAUGUUUGUUUUUUGCAAUUUUUGGCAUAUGCGAUCUCGAAGUAUAUACAAACAUGUUUGACGGUUCGAUCGUUGAAACUAGUUUCAUAGAAGGCGUAUUCCAUCAAAACAAUAGAUUCACUAACACUUAAGAGUUUUUUCAUACUUUCAUCAAGUAUAACAUAAGAUUUUGUGGUAUCCACUACUGUAAAUAUUUUAAAUUGAAGAUUGAAUUCAUUCAUUGUAUUCAUAUAGGGUCAAGGAGUGUAGCUGUAAAAAAUCAUCAAAAUCGGAGUUAAAAUAACCAUUAAAUCGUGAUUUUUCGUUUAUAACCGUCGAAAAGUUUUGUCCUGUUACUUGAUCUAUGAAUGUUUGUUUUUUGCAAUUUUUGGCGUAUGCGAUCUCGAAGUAUUUACAAACAUGUUUGACGGUUGGAUCGUUGAAACUAGUUUCGUAGAAUGCAUAUCCCAUCAAAACAAUAGAUUCACUGACACUUAAGAUUUUAUUCAUACUUUCAUCAAGUAUAACAUAAGAUUUUGUAGUAUCCACUAGUGUAAAUAUUUUAAAUUGAAGAUCGAAUUCAUUCAUUGUAUUUCUAUAGGGUCAAGGAGUAUAGCUGUAAAAAAAUCAUCAAAAUCGGAGUUAAAAUAACCGUUAAAUCGUGAUUUUUUGUUUAUAACCGUCGAAAAGUUUUGUCCCGUUACUUGAUCUCUGAAUGUUUGUUUUUUGCAAUUUUUGGCAUAUGCGAUCUCGAAGUAUAUACAAACAUGUUUGACGGUUCGAUCGUUGAAACUAGUUUCACAAAAUGCGUAUCUCAUCAAAACAAUAGAUUCACUAACACUUAAGAAUUUAUUCAUACUUUCAUUAAGUAUAACAUAAGAUUUUGUGGUAUCCACUACUGUAAAUAUUUUAAAUUGAAGAUUGAAUUCAUUCAUUGUAUUCAUAUAGGGUCAAGGAGUGUAGAUGUAAAAAAUCAUCAAAAUCGGAGUUAAAAUAACCAUUAAAUCGUGAUUUUCGUUUAUAACCGUCGAAAAGUUUUGUCCUGUUACUUGAUCUAUGAAUGCUUGUUUUUUGCAAUUUUUGGCGUAUGCGAUCUCGAAGCAUAUACAAACAAGUUUGACGGUUGGAUCGUUGAAACUAGUUUCACAAAAUGCGUAUCUCAUCAAAACAAUAGAUUCACUAACACUUAAGAAUUUAUUCAUACUUUCAUUAAGUAUAACAUAAGAUUUUGUGGUAUCCACUAGUGUAAAUAUUUUAAAUUGAAGAUCGAAUUCAUUCAUUGUAUUCAUAUAGGGUCAAGGAGUGUAGUUGUAAAAAAUUAUCAAAAUUGGAGUUAAAAUAACCGUUAAAUCGUGAUUUUUCGUUUAUAACUGUCGAAAAGUUUUGUCUCGUUACUUGAUCUCUGAAUGUUUAUUUUUUGCAAUUUUUGGCGUAUGCGAUCUCGAAGUAUAUACAAACAUGUUUGACGGUUCGAUCGUUGAAACUAGUUUUGUAGAAUGCGUAUCCCAUCAAAACAAUAGAUUCACAAACACUUAAGAGUUUAUUCAUACUUUCAUCAAGUAUAACAUAAGAUUUUGUGGUAUCCCCUAGUGUAAAUAUUUUAAAUUGAAAAUCGAAUUCAUUCAUUGUAUUCAUAUAGGGUCAAGGAGUGUAGCUGUAAAAAAUCAUCAAAAUCGGAGUUAAAAUAAUCGUUAAAUCGAGAUUUUUCGUUUAUAACCGUCGGAAAGUUUUGUCUAGUUACUUGAUCUGUGAAUGUUUUUUUUUUGUAAUUUUUUGCUGAUGCGAUCUCGAAGCAUAUACAAACAAGUUUAACGGUUGGAUUGUUGAAAUUAGUUUCGUAUAAUUCGUAUCCCAUGAAGUUCAAUGGUGUGUGUGUGUAUAUAUAUUGUUGAUGCACAAAAUCAGCGAAGACUUUGGUACAACAGAAAGUGUCAGGUUUUAUGACCU